rnacentral:tRNA from 1 species
GGGGUUGUGACUCAGUGGUAGAGCGCUCACCUAGCACAUGUGAGGCACUGGGUUCGAUCCUCAACACCA